CUGAGAUCACCCUGGAGGAGAACUCCAAGGGUGGGCGGCUAAUGAGGGUUGGAGAAAGGUGGACCCAUGGGCGGUGGCUGCCCACGGCCUUUGAAGUUUCAUUUGCAGUGUUUUAUGAGCCCAUGCUGGAGUAAAUUGUACCUGCAGGCUGCUGCACUUUGCCCUCCCCAGCAAAAGGAGGUGGAAUUCACACUAGUAAUGUCUGGCUGGAGAACACCCUAGAUGAUGAAUCCAGUGAGGGUCAACAGCAGAGAGGAGCUGCCCAGCAGAGAGGAGCUGCCCACCACACCCUCCACCCCAUCUUCCUGAGCCUUCUGUGGAAGCACUGGUUUGCUAGCCUCUGAAGGGCCAUGGGCCCAGCACCAGGUGCCCUCAGCUCUGAGGCCAGGCCGUUACCUGCAUUCAAGAUGGACACUGGCUAGAGAAAGCAUGUCCACAGGGCUGGUCAGUAGGAAAGGGGUUGUGUUUCUGGAAGGGUGCAUCUAACCCAGGGGUUGGUGAGCAUUUUCCUAACCCAGGGCCAGGUAGUAAACAUUUUUGGCUUUGCCAGUCAUGCAGUCUCUGUCACAGCCACUGCACUCUACUACUUUAGCACAAAAGCAGCCAUAGGCAAUACAUUUAAAAAGACGAGCGUGACUGCGUUCCAAUAAAAUUUUAUUUAUAAAAAACAGACAGCAGGCUGGAUUUGACCUGUGUGUUGUAGUUUGCUAACCUUGCUGAGUAACAUCCCCUGACCCUCACUGGUGGGGCCUGUGUUUUUGCUUUCACAUUUAUUUCACUUGGCAUUCAGGGUAGCCACCAUACACCCCAUGCAAAUGACAAUCCAUAUUGGUCCAGACUUAGUUCCAGAUGAAACUCAUUACCAGAUAGUUCCCAGGCUCAGGGAUAUCAAAUGGGAUCCAGCAGACAGCCACUUCCCACUGAUAAGCAAGGAUUCCAGGUCUGAAGGGCAAAUGACGAAAGGGAACCUUCAGUCUGCAGAGAAAAGUCAGAAUCCUUGGCUCCCAAUCAGCAGGUCUUGCAGCAUCUCAGCCCUCACACAAAUCCCUGGGUCUCCAUGAUUGGGUGAGUCACUAAUGGGUUAACAGCUGAGCUCCAUCCUGAAGUUUGGCUCCAGUGCACCUUUAGAAUAACAACCUGGGUCUGGAUUAACAUUCAAGAAAACAACCCCUCAGGAAAGUGUUCUGUAAUAAAAGGAUCCUAUUUCCUCUCUGCCAGCUCCCACCUUUUUCUUUCAAGUCAAGUCUGAAGCAAGCUCAGAAACCUGUCAAGCUAUGAAUGAUGAGUCAGACAUUUAACCAAACAAAUUUGCUCUCCUGGUGCCACUUGACACCUGCAUGAGCCUGCAGUGGUGAAGGUGGGGUUUGUGAAGAGGCAGCAGCCUCCAUGGAUGAGGUCUUGCACAAACGCUCAUCUACAUUAAGGAAGUAGCGUGGCCAGCCACAGCUUCAGCCCAGAUGAGGAAACUGAGGCUCAGAAAGAUGACGAUUCUCUAAUGACACAAAGCUAGUCUAUCAAUCUGUUCUCACACUGUUAUAAAGAUAUACCUGAGACUGAGUAAUUUAUGGAGAAAAGAGAUUUAGUUGACUCACAGUUCUGCGGGCUAGACAGGAGGCAUGGCUGGGGAGACCUCAGGAAACUUACAAUCAUGGUGGAAGGCAAAGGGGAAGUAGGUACAAUCUUCACACAGUAAGGAAGGAGAGAGAGAGAGAGAGAGACAGCAAAGCAGGGAAGUGCUACACACUUUCAAACAACCAGAUCUCAUGAGAACUCUGUCACAAGAACAGCAAGGAGAAUGUUCACCCCCAUGAUUCAAUCACCUUCCACCAGGUCCUUCUCUCAACAUUGGGGAUUACAAUUCAACGUGAGAUUUAGGUGGGGACACAGAGCCAAACCAUAUCAGCUAGAAAGUAGCAGAGACGGGGUAGAAUCCACUCCCCUGUCUCCCAGGGCACUGCUGCCUCUGCUCUGCCAGCUGGAGAGUCCUUCUACUCUGAUCCGGAUCACUCCAUGAGGAGCUAGAAGAGAAGGUGGAGACGGUAUGAAUAUUGGGGUAUAACCUGGAGUAGCUCCAGAGUAAUUGUAAUUUGAUUCAAAUCAAAUCCAGAUACUGAUACUGCCUUCCCAGAAAUAUGGUCUACCAGACUGGGCCAUGAGCAAAAUGGAAUCCUUAUACCCACGUUAGGCAACCAGGUUGAAUUUGUUGAGGUUGAAUUUGUUGAGCUAUGCAUUGCAUGGAUUCACCUCAUAGGCACUUCAGGCAAGUGAGGCUCCAAGUGCAUACUUCCUAUAAUUUUAUUAAUACUCAUGAUUGCCCCUAGGGAUUUAUGCCCAGAUGGAAAUGGAGGGCAGCCUAUUUACACUGAGUGAAAUUCUGUCAUAUGGGAAAAAGAGGAUAAAAGAAUGAAGGCCUGGUGCAGUGGCUCACGCCUGUAAUCCCAACACUUUGGAAGCCCGAGACGGGAGAAUUGCUUGGGCCUAAGGAGUUCAAGAUCAACCUGGGCAAUGUAGUGAGGCCUUGUCUUCUUGAAAAAUAAAAAAAUUAGCCAGGCAUGAUGGCAUGUGCACCUGUAGUCCCAGCUACUCAGGAAGCAGAGGUAGGAGGAUAACCUGAGCGCAGGAGGUCAAGGCUGUGGUAAGCCAAGAUAGCACAACUGCACUCCAGCCUGGGUGACAGACUGAGGCCCCUAUCUCAAAAAUAAAUAAAUAAAUAAAAAAUAAAAGACUGGAAACCUUCCAGUACAUACUAGGAGCUUAUAAAAGUUCAUAUUCUUUGACUUGAAGUUGUAGAUUGCUUUCAAACUGGCCCUGCAUCUCUGCCCCUCCCUGUGUUAGGAUGUCAUUUAUAUAGCUCCUCUUAUCAAAGGAUGGAGUCUAGUUCCCCACUCCUUGAAUCUGGGCUGGCCUUGUGACUGACUUAGACAAUAGAAUGCACCAGAAAUGAGGAUGUGCCAAUUUUAAGCCUUGCACACUUCUGCUUGCUCUCUUGGAACCCUGUCCAACUCUAAUGUGACAAGCCAGUGCCAGCCUGCUGAAGGAUGAGACCACAUGAAGCAGAGACAAGCUGUCCUAGCUGCCUCCAGCUUAAACAAGCUAGCCCCUGCCCCAUCUAGCCCCUAACUACAAAUGCAUGGUUCAGCCCUGUCUAGAUUGUAAGAACCAUCUAGAUGAAGCCAACCUAAAUUACUGACCCCAGAACUGUGAGGUAAACAAUUGUGGUUAUUUUAAGUCAGUAAGUUUUGGCCUAGUUUGUUUUGCAAAAGCUGUGUGAUGUACUCAGUAACUUUUUAGAUAGAAACCCAUUCUAGUGAUAUAGUCAGAAGUUCAAGCAGAAUGUGUAUAUAUUUAAAACUCAUCUCAGUGUUGAUUAUGAGCAAAUACAAUUUCUGUAAAAACCUAAAUAACUUAUAAUAAGGGAUUGGCAAAAUAAAUCUUGUAUCCGUAUAAUGCAAUUGUGUAAUGUAGCCAGUUAAAUGCACAGAAAUGGAGUAAUUUAUACUGCCACACAUUGCAUACACUGCAGAGGACUCUAAGUAUAAAAAGAAAUGGGGGAGGUCUCAAUAGCCUGCAGUGAUCUCCAGGUUGCUGGGUUUUAAAAAAAAGGUUUAUAAAGUUUGCAUAGCUGAGUUAGAGAGAGAGAAGAAUGAAUAGCUGGAACACAGAGGAUUUUUAGGGCAGUGAAACUAUUCUGUACGAUACUAUAGUGGUAGAUACAUGUAAUUUUACCUUUGUCCAGACCCAUAGAAUGUACAACACCAAGAGUGAACCCUAACGUAAACUAUAGAUUUUGGAUGAUAAUGAUGUGUCAAUGUUGGUUCAUCCAUUGUAGCAAAUGGUCCACUCUGGUAGGGGAUGUUCAUCCUAAGAGAUAUGCAUGUGUGGGGGUAGAGGGCAUAUGGGAACUCUCUCGUAAACCUAAAACUGCUCUAAAAAAUAAAGUCUAUUUUUAAAAAAAGUUUGCAUAACUUAUCUGGAAAAGGGGAAUAUAGCAAAUAUAUAUUUGCUUAUGUUUUAAAAUGGAAGGGAAGAACAAAACUAUUUUUAAAUGGAAGGGGAAAGAAUAGGGUAAAAAAAAUACAGAAAUGGAAGCUAGACUUUUCUAAAUGCACCGUGGUUUAUAGAUUUGAGUUAGGGACUAUGUAAAUAUUUUAUGCAAUUUUGAAAUUAAAAUGUUUUAAAUUCCUAAAGAUAAAAACCAAAAUGAAAUAGAAGAAUUUGACACUGUAUGGAAUUGGUGGCAUAACCACAUAGGAGCUAUUUCUUUUUUUUUUUUUUUUGAGAUGAAUCUCACUUUGCUGCCCAGGCUGAAGUGCAGUGGUGCGAUCUCGACUCACUGCAACCUCUGCCUCCUGUGUUCAAGCGAUUCUCCUGCCUCAGCCUCCAGAGUAGCUAGAACCACAGGCAUGUGCCACCACACCUGGCUAAUUUUUGUAUUUUUUGUAGAAACGGGGUUUCACCAUGUUGGCCAGGCUAGUCUAGAACUCCUGACCUCAAGUGAUGCACCCGCCUCAGCCUCCCAAAGUGCUGGGAUUACAGGUAUGAGCCACUGAGCCUGGCCAAGAGCUAUUUCAAAUGACUUUAAAAUACAGUACAUGUGCUAGGCUGUUCUUGCAUUACUAUAAAGAAAUACCUGAGACUGGAUAAUUUAUUUUAAAAAAAAAGAGGUUUAAUCUGCUCAUGAUUCUGCAAACUGUACAGUCAUGGCACUGGCAU
rnacentral:lncRNA from 1 species